rnacentral:rRNA from 1 species
GUUAGGAAUAUUGGACAAUGGGGGAAACCCUGAUCCAGCCAUGUCGCGUGAGUGAAGAAGGCCUUAGGGUUGUAAAGCUCUUUCGGCUGUGAAGAUAAUGACAGUAGCAGAAGAAGAAGCCCCGGCUAAAUUCGUGCCAGCAGCCGCGGUAAUACGAAUGGGGCGAGCGUUGUUCGGAAUCACUGGGCGUAAAGCGUACGCAGGCGGUCAUGAAAGUCAGGAGUGAAAUCCCAGGGCUUAACCCUGGAAUGGCUCUUGAAACUCCAUGACUAGAGUACUGGAGAGGUUAGCGGAAUUCCGAGUGUAGAGGUGAAAUUCGCAGAUAUUCGGAGGAACACCAAUGGCGUAGGCAGCUAACUGGACAGUAACUGACGCUCAUGUACGAAAGCGUGGGGAUCAAACAGGAUUAGAUACCCGGGUAGUCC